rnacentral:rRNA from 1 species
GACGAACGCUGGCGGCGUGCUUAACACAUGCAAGUCGAACGGAAAGGCCCUGCUUUUGUGGGGUGCUCGAGUGGCGCACGGGUGAGUAACACGUGAGUAACCUGCCCUUGAAUUUGGGGUAACUUCUGGAAACUGGGGCUAAUACCGGAUAGGAUCUCCUGCUGCAUGGUGGGGGUUGGAAAGUUUCGGCGGUUGGGGAUGGACUCGCGGCUUAUCAGCUUGUUGGUGGGGUAGUGGCUUACCAAGGCUUUGACGGGUAGCCGGCCUGAGAGGGUGACCGGCCACAAUGGGACUGAGGUACGGCCCAGACUCCUACGGGAGGCAGCAGUGGGGAAUAUUGCACAAUGGGCGGAAGUCUGAUGCAGCAACGCCGCGUGCGGGAUGCCGGCCUUCGGGUUGUAAACCGCUGUCGCCGGUGACGAAGCGGGAGUGACGGUAAUGGGUAAAGAAGCACCGGCUAACUACGUG